GCAUUGGUGGAUCAGUGGUAGAGUUCUUGCCUUCCAUGCAGGAGACGCGGGUUUGAUUCCCAGCUAAUGCA
rnacentral:tRNA from 1 species